rnacentral:rRNA from 1 species
UUCAGAGGACGUGAAACCGUUUGGAAGGAAACGGGUAGAGCUGCGAGUUGCUCGGCUGAUUCAGGCAGUCUGCAGGGCUGCUCUUGCUUUGUCGAUCGCAAGACGACGUUGCUUGAGCGUGCACUGUUGGACGGCCGCAUUUUGGCCGAGUUGCACCAGCGGCCGUACUCGGUCGACUGUGCCGCCUAGUUGACGAUGCUGUCUUCGGAUGGUUAUCGGAUAGGCGCGCACGGUUCGUACUGGGAACGGAUUAUUAGUUCGGUGGUCGCCUUCGGGCGCGAGGACUGCUUGAGUUCUGUGCGUAGUGGCUAACGUGCGUGCACGAAGGCUGCUGCGUGUGGUUCAGCUUGCAUGAAUCGAAGACCGCCGGCGCUGGUGAACAAGUCAGCGACCUACCCGACCCGUCUUGAAACACGGACCAAGGAGUCUAGCAUGUGCGCGAGUCGUAGGGUGCUAAAACCCGAAGGCGCAGUGAAAGCAAAGCUUCGCUCGACACAAGAUCUGUCGUGUUCGCACGACGGCGCAUUGUGGCCCCGUCCGAGCUGCUUGUUGGCUGGGCGGCGGUAGAGCGCACACGCUAGGACCCGAAAGAUGGUGAACUAUGCCUGAGCAGGGCGAAGUCAGAGGAAACUCUGAUGGAGGCUCGAAACGGUUCUGACGUGCAAAUCGAUCGUCAGACUUGGGUAUAGG